rnacentral:rRNA from 1 species
GACGAACGCUGGCGGCGUGCUUAACACAUGCAAGUCGAACGGAAAGGCCUGCUUUCCCUUGUGGAUUGCGGGUACUCGAGUGGCGAACGGGUGAGUAACACGUGAGUGAUCUGCCCCCAACUUGGGUAUAAGCCUGGGAAACUGGGUCUAAUUCCCGAUAGGACUGCAGGGUGGUGCCUGUGGUGGAAAACGAUUUUCUAGUGGUUGGGGAUGAGCUCGCGGCCUAUCAGCUUGUUGGUGGGGUAAUGGCCUACCAAGGCGGCGACGGGUAGCCGGCCUGAGAGGGUGGACGGGCACAGUGGGACUGAGAUACGGCCCAGACUCCUACGGGCGGCAGCAGUGGGGACUAUUGCACGAUGGGCGGAAGCCUGAUGCAGCGACGCCGCGUGGGGGAUGACGGCCUUCGGGUUGUAAACUCCUUUCGACCGCGAGGAAGCCACCUGGUUGGAAGGGUGGUGACGGUAGUGGUAGAAGAAGCCCCGGCUAACUACGUG